rnacentral:rRNA from 1 species
GACGAACGCUGGCGGCGUGCCUAAUACAUGCAAGUUGAGCGAUGAAGAUUGGUGCUUGCACCAAUUUGAAGAGCAGCGAACGGGUGAGUAACGCGUGGGGAAUCUGCCUUUGAGCGGGGGACAACAUUUGGAAACGAAUGCUAAUACCGCAUAACAACUUUAAACAUAAGUUUUAAGUUUGAAAGAUGCAAUUGCAUCACUCAAAGAUGAUCCCGCGUUGUAUUAGCUAGUUGGUGAGGUAAAGGCUCACCAAGGCGAUGAUACAUAGCCGACCUGAGAGGGUGAUCGGCCACAUUGGGACUGAGACACGGCCCAAACUCCCACGGGAGGCAGCAGUAGGGAAUCUUCGGCAAUGGACGAAAGUCUGACCGAGCAACGCCGCGUGAGUGAAGAAGGGUUUCGGAUCGUAAAACUCUGUUGGUAGAGAAGAACGUUGGUGAGAGUGGAAAGCUCAUCAAGUGACGGUAACUACCCAGAAAGGGACGGCUAACUACGUG